rnacentral:tRNA from 1 species
GCAAGUAUAGGUUAAUGGUAAGCUGCAACCCUUCCAAGGUUGAUUUGACGGUUCGAGUCCGUCUACUUGCUCA